rnacentral:rRNA from 1 species
AUCUGACCUCAAAUCAGGUAGGACUACCCGCUGAACUUAAGCAUAUCAAUAAGCCGGAGGA